UACAGAGGGUGCAAACGUUGCUCGGAAUCAUUGGGCGUAAAGCGCACGUAGGCGGUCCAGCAAGUCGGGUGUGAAAGCCCAGGGCUCAACCCUGGAAGUGCAUUCGAAGCUGCUGGACUUGAGUACCGGAGAGGGUGGCGGAAUUCCCGGUGUAGAGGUGAAAUUCGUAGAUAUCGGGAGGAACACCAGUGGCGAAGGCGGCCACCUGGACGGAUACUGACGCUGAGGCGCGAAAGCUAGGGGAGCAAACGGG
rnacentral:rRNA from 1 species